rnacentral:rRNA from 1 species
GACGAACGCUGGCGGCGUGCUUAACACAUGCAAGUCGAACGAAGAGCGAUGGAAGCUUGCUUCUAUCAAUCUUAGUGGCGAACGGGUGAGUAACGCGUAAUCAACCUGCCCUUAAGAGGGGGACAACAGUUGGAAACGACUGCUAAUACCGCAUACGAUCUAAUCUCGGCAUCGAGGAUAGAUGAAAGGUGGCCUCUACAUGUAAGCUAUCACUGAAGGAGGGGAUUGCGUCUGAUUAGCUAGUUGGAGGGGUAACAGCCCACCAAGGCGAUGAUCAGUAGCCGGUCUGAGAGGAUGAACGGCCACAUUGGGACUGAGACACGGCCCAGACUCCUACGGGAGGCAGCAGUGGGGAAUCUUCCGCAAUGGACGAAAGUCUGACGGAGCAACGCCGCGUGAGUGAUGACGGCCUUCGGGUUGUAAAGCUCUGUUAAUCGGGACGAAAGGCCUUCUUGCGAAUAGUGAGAAGGAUUGACGGUACCGGAAUAGAAAGCCACGGCUAACUACGUG